AGAAAUGUCUAGACCCGAAACUGAUGCAGCCAGAACAAGGUUACCAUGUAGUCAAAGUCGGUCGGAGUCUCGACUCCACCAUGUUACCCUGAGACGUAAACCCUGCUGAUUUUUCUGUGACUUCUUUAAGGAAAGUUCAGACCUCCCCCAAUCUGCAAGGCUAGCAAAAGCAGCUUUUUUGAUGUAUCAAUAAUGGGGAGUUGUGGAAAUAAAUAAAAGAUGCUUCUUUGAUCUCUUAAAGCAAACCCCACUACUGUCAUGGCAUACUUUGCUUCGCUAUUAAACCGGGAGUGUCCUCUGACACCAAGUUUGGCAUCCUCCAUGUGCUUCUCUGCUAAGAAAUUUCAUUCCUCUCUACUUAUUGGGAAGCUGCAUUUCUUAUAACCCAAAUUCAAGAGCAAACAACUGAUUACACAGUUGCUGAUUUUGUGGGGGUACAGAGAGAGAGAGAGAGAGAUAUGUCUGCUGAUUGGGGGCCGGUUGUUGUAGCGGUGGUUUUGUUCAUACUGUUGUCACCGGGAUUGCUGUUCCAGUUACCGGCGAGAGCGAGGGUGGUGGAGUUCGGGAACAUGGCAACAAGUGGUAUCUCCAUCCUGGUUCAUGCUAUCUUGUAUUUUUGCAUACUCACCAUCCUGAUCGUGGCAAUCGGCAUUCACAUCCAUGUCAGUUGAUCCUCGCUAGGCGGUGGCGGCGGCUCAACACCGAAAGCUGAUUUCUCCGGAGCGCUGCCUUCAAUCAUGGAUAUCUUUUAGUGCUGUUUAUUUUCUCUUGUUAUUUCUUCAUAUAAGAUUCCAUUGGAUGAGGCUGUCUUUUUCUUUUCUCAA